rnacentral:misc_RNA from 1 species
UAUUGCUGGCUGAAAGCAAACCUCCUCACCCCCUCCCCCUUCCCCACAAAGGCCUCCCGGUUGGGCAAGUAUCGUGCGUGCCACGAACCCCUUCACGCAAGCACAGACGACAGCGCACAAGGAAGCGGGUCGUCCUCCCCACCCCUGCUUCCCCUCAACCUUGCACAUACAGGGACCCCCCCCCCCAAAAAAAAAAACACCGUAACGCGAAUUCCACAUCAACGACAGAGGCACAAACAAAACGCCAAGGAAAGCUGCGGCACGGGAAAGGGACGCGACGACAUCAUCUCCGCUGCCGGUCCACCCGUGACGGGAGAAAAGGCGAUAUAUAUAUAUAUAUAUAUAUAUAUAUAUGUAUAUGUAUAUAUCAAGGGAGAGCGACAGCAGAAAGGACAAGGCCGCGCAGGAGUCUGAUCGAGGGCGCGCGAGGGAAUUGCGUGUGAGGGGCCGCGCGUGCUUGUGACCACAGCGUCGGAAGGUCUACAAGAGUAACUGUGCCGGGAGGUGUGCUAGACCACUUCACACUACCAACCAGCGAUCGAAGCGGAUACGAAAGAAGUGAAGCGGAACAUAAAAAGGGAUCAGGCACAGUGCGUGUAGUUCUGGUGCUGCUUUCUCUUUCUUCUUCUGGUCUCUGUUGCCUUUUUUGAUGUUUCUAUUCCUCUAUAUCAUAUCCCCUCCUUCCUCCCCACUACGCGUUUUCUCUGAUUUCUGCUCUCGCUGAUUGUUUGCCCGCAUCUCUCGGCCGAUCGCUCUGUCUGCCCCGCCCCGGUCCGUUCGUGCGACAACCUCGUAUGUGCGCGGGUGUUGUCUAUGGUGUAACUCUACGUUUGUGUGCGUGUGCGUGUGUGUUUGCGUGUUGGGUUGUUCCCCCCCCCCACCGCCCUUCACUCCCUGCUGUGCCUGUGGUCGCUGGUUGAUGCCACUGCCACCUUGAGCCAACCUACCUCUCCCCCCUUUCCUUGUCUUUGUGCGUCUCUCUCUCCACCACUACCACCACCUCUCUCUUUCUCGUCACUUAUCGCCCCUGCCGUCGUCAAAGGUCGUUGUAUCCCGCGCACCGCGCUCCUGGUCUUCUCUGCUGUCCUGCCGUACACACGCAGGGAAGGUGAGCUCCAAGCUUGCUGUCUGCUCUUAGCGCUCCGCUUCUUUUUCGCUGCAACGAUCUCCUUUGCUCUCCGUCACAGGGCUUCUGGAAUACGCGAUUUGCUUGGUACAUCCUUUUCCUACUUUAGUUUCUGCUGCGGCAUCCGCGGGGCGUCAACGCCUAGGGAGGGGCGGGCUCUGGUCAGCGUCGCCGAGAAACGCAGUAUCUAGGAGGUCGCCACUGUCGUCGUUGGUUUUGUUGGUGUCGCUGUUGAUGGUGGCAACGUUGCUCAUCGUACACCCGCACCGGUGCACACGUCGACGUCUUUUAACUCUUUAUAUUCUUCGAUGGAUGAACUCAACGAGAGACAAGCCUAAGCCCACUAUUCUUACCGACUCACUGGCUUGUGAACGUGCCCACAGAAGCCGUCCUUCUGCCUCUCCCUCUCCGUCUUCCUCCAAGCCGCGUGUGAUUGGUGUGUUGUUGUGUUCACCUGUCCAAAUUUGUUUUCCCUGUGUGUUUGCUUGUAUGCACUCAGAGCCAUUUUGAAUUCUUUGCGUUUUCUCGAUCACACGCACCACGCACACACACACACACUCGGCGUAAGUACGUGCGUUUGUGUGCUUCCCUUGCCCGCCCACGAAAGCUUCCUCUUGCCCCCCCCCUCCACCCACCCCCACCCCUUACUUGUGGUGCACCUUGCGUGCUUUCCCUCCCUUUCUUCUCGUCCCUUCCGUGCCCCCUCCUUUUGUGUGGUCGUCAUGCAGUAUGAGAAGCCCGCUGGGGUCAUGCAUGAGGUGAUCCGGCGUGCCUUUGAUGAGCUGCGCCUACACAACAAUGCACAAGGCGCUAUCACCAUCGUUACACACGCUCUCGCCAACGCAGAGGGGCUGCCGCUGCUGAAGUCAGGCAAGGAUCUCAAUGGCAACACCCCAGCAAGCACGCCGCGAGCGGUUUUGUCGCGCAGCGACGGCGUCGUGGCACGUGUCCGUGACGCCACCGCUUCUGUCGUUGGCGCCCCCACUCUGAGCAGCAUCAGCGAGAACGGCUACGACCAUAGUGCACUCCGACCUCGUCUCGGUGGGUCCUCGAGCAUGACCCGUACAACGCAGGCGGCGUCGUUGCAGUGGCUCACCGCCGGGAGCAUCGGCGCUUCUGCGCCUUUGCCAACUUCCACCGCCAGCGCCACCGCCAUUGCGUCGCUGCCUGCUGGGAGCGCAGAGUGCCUGAGCAGGCACCACUACUUUAAUCGGACGCAGGUUCUGCGGCUGCUGCUCAUCCGCUGCGAGGCCUACAGCGCCAUGAAGCAGCACAACCGCGCAUUGCAGGAUGCACUGAACGCGGUCGAGGUGUCGGAAGGCCAGUCCGCGGAGGCGUACUUCGCGGUUGGCCGAGAGCAGCGCCGGCAGUUCAACAUUGUGGAGUCCGCUAGCGCGUUCGACACAGCAGAGGCGCUGCUGCACUCCAUGCAGCAGGCCGUUGCGGCUGGCAAAAACGUUGUGGAUGGGUGGAUCCAGGAGACGGUAUCGGAGGAGGACUUUUGGGCCGAACGUGGCUAUCAAAUGUCGGAGGUGCGGGAGCUCGGCAUCACGCGGCGAGAGUACGAGCUGCAGGAGCGAGCAGCACACCGUGAUAGUCUGUCGAACUCGGACAGUCCCCCGUUAAGCCCGCUUGGCCGGGCACGGACCGAUCCACUGAGCCCGGUGAUAAGCGGCAGCAGUUGGCGUGGGCACGGGCACGGCUUCGAGCCGUCGUUUGCCGGCACCAGCGGCUCGGUGCUUGAGGUGCCAACCUCACUGAACGACUCCGCAACAACCCUUUCCUUCACAGGCGAGAGCGGCGCUGACUGCGGCGCCGCCGGUGCCGGGAAUUAUGCGCGUGACCUGCUGCAGUGUGGUUUGUCUUUGAACGAGCUGGCCAUGUGGCGCCGUCUCUCCAAUGAGUCGCGGGCGCUGCUUGCCAUGCGCCAGUCGCACACCGUGCCGUCGACGCUGCUGGGUGCAACCAUGACGCUGCUGGACCGGCGCAUCGCAAGCGUUCGUGGUGGUCUCAUCAUCUCCAUAGAGAACAACUUGAGUGUGCCGCUACGCUUCAUUGGCGCCAUGGCCCCAGACGGGCUUUAUCACGACGCCUUCAGUUUUCCCGACGUCAUCGCCAAGACGCACUGCGGCAUCUCAAUGCUGCACCCACGCGGGUGGGGAGGCUACUCUGGCUGCGUAUGCUACGAGCUGCACGAACAGUUGAGCUGCUUCUUUUACUUCGAAUGCCCUCUGCUGGGCUCGCUCAAAUACGGUGUGCGCUUCGUCGAGCACCGCGCCUCUGACCUGCGCCGCGCCUUCGCGGAGAUGUACAAGGAGACGGGUAUCUACAGCAUCGAGGGCGGCACGACGUCGUCGGCCAUCAAAUCACCGCAGCACAUUAACAGCGGUGCGGCGGGUAGACACAACGGCGCCCGCAUCGGGGGCAAUGUGUCGAUCCGCGGCGCGACGACGCCGCUGGCGACGACGUUGGCUAGCAUGAACGCAGCGCGGGCUGCGAUUCGUACGCCGCCGUCUGGAAUCUGGAUCGCAUCGCACACCGCAGUGUCCGCGUCGAGGCGUCCGAUCAAGGCCACGGCGCGUUUGAACGGCACUCAGGACAUCGCCUUUUCGCUCUCCGAAGUACUGGCUGUGCGACUGCGCAGUGUGGAGCUGGCGCCUGCGCUCGAGUACGUUGGUGCCGCGACGCUCAAAAAGCUGAGCUCCGUCAGCCACCGCUACCGGGAGUUGGUGAACAACCUGCCGCCGCCGAUGUUCUACGGCACUGGGAGGCGCUCCUACCCGGACUACUGUGUCGCCUCCGACCGGUACAGCUCGCCGUGGAUUGUGCGGGACAUGCAGCCAGUCACGUGGAAGCUCGUCUUCGACGGCCGCCUCGCCGAUCAGGAAGAGUUCUCUAUAUCUGAUGAGAGCGACAUGCAGAAACACAUCCUGUGCUUUUCGGCUGAUGCGCAGACGAAGGUGACGGGCUACGUGUACUUUGGCGACAAGCGGUGUCUGCAGUACAUCAUCAAAGAGAGCUGGAUUCCCUUCAGCAACACGCUCUACAUCUCCACCCCCGUCGGCCGAACCUUUGCCAGCUGCGUGGCGACGAACAACCAGACUCAGUUCACCCUCUCGUUGACGAGCAGCGGCGGCGGUGGUAACACGAAGGGAGGCGCGGCCAAGGGCGGCGACGACGUGCUGUACUCGGCGCGCAAGCGUGUGCCGCCCGCCGGCGACGUUGCGACGCCGUCCGCGCGUGCCGGGGCCACCGUUGUGACGGCCACGGCCAUUUCGACAGGAGUCGUGAGCGGAAACGGGAGUACCCUCCACAGCCGCGGCAGUCCAGCGCCUGCCGCGCUUGGUGUGGAUUCCGAUGCGGCCACUGGCAUCGUGGAGGGUGCUAACAACGUCGGCGUCAGCGCGACAAGGCGCGCCACGGCCGCGGACGCAGCAUCGUCGAGGACCCGCGGCAGCUCUGGUGGGCUGGGCGUGCUCACCUUGCCGGUGACCACGGGAGGAAUCGCGAAGGCGACUCUUUACUCUCCGAAUGCCACUCUCUACCCUUCUCCGGGGAAGCCAUCUUCAGAGACCGCGUUCAACGGCACUUCGACCGCAGUCUCCAUGACGUCUGGCAAGCCAGAGUACUAUAGCAUCUGGCGCUCACAGCGCGUCAGCGGCGGCGCUGUCGUCGGCAGUGUCUCCCCGGCCACGACGAACGGCGGUGCCGACAUUGUGGCCGAGGUGAAAGUGAACCCGGUGCUCUACGGCAUGGUGGCCAAGGGGUACUGCGCGGCCGAGAUUACGCUCUACCCUGGCGCGGAUGCGAUGUUGGUAUCCCUCAUGUCCUUCUUGAUGACGCGGUGGUAGCCGCACUAGCGGAAGGGUAGCGCCGUUUCCGUAUAGUGAUGGUGGCGUAUGCCUUGAGUUAUUGACCCCCUCCCCCAUUGCCCGGCUGUAUCACGCACACUCGUUGUGUGUCGCACAUAUUUUCGUCUGCUGCUGCUGCUUCCAGUUGGCAUUCUGGUGUUUGUCAAUGUGUGUGUGUGUGUGUGUGUACGUGUUCUUCUUUUUCUCUCUCCCUCUAUCUCGGAUGGUGGUGCUGAGGCCUCCGCCGUGACGCGCGCUUCUUGAUGCGGUCGUUGUUGAUGGUGAUUUUUUUUGCUCGUCGUGCUCGCUGUCCCCCUCCCCCUUCUUUUCCGUCGCAGCACUUGUCGCUACGGUGUCCUGCGCGAAGGGGAAGAAGUACGCCCCGAGAGACAGCUCUUCUUGACGCAGCUGCGAAUGCGUGCGUGCGUUCGCGCACAGGAUCUGGAUGAGUGGGUAAGGAGUGAGACGAGAUGAGUGGUCAACUCCUCCCACCAUACCUGCAGUUACGUGCACACACGCACGCAGGCACGUGAUUUGUUCUUCGCGCUGCGUUGUUGUCCGGUUGUCGUCUUCUCUUCCUGGUUUUUUUCUGUGGUAGUGCUCCGUCUUUCCCUUCCCUCUCUACGUGUCGCAUUUUGUUUUCCUCAGUCUCUCGCUCCAUUGCAU